AACAAGCAGUUAAAAUCACAAAUACAAUGUUAAAAACAACAUCAAACAAAAUAAGAUAAAAUAAAACAAAAUAAAGAUAAUGGCUUUAUGGUCCGAGUGAAUAAGCUUGUCUAAACAGAUGUGUUUUGAGGCUGGAUUUGAAAUGUGUUAAUGAGUCUGUAUUACGAAGGUCAGCGGGGAGUGUGUUCCAGAGCUGGGGAGCAGAGCGACUGAAGGCUCUGUUUCCCAUGGUGACGAGGCGAGCAGGGGGGACAGUGAGGAGGAGAGGGGAGGAAGAACGAAGAGAGCGGACAGGUGUAGGAAUAUGGAUCAGGUCAGAUAGGUAUGGAGGGGCAAAGUUAUGGAUGGCUUUGAAUGUAAGGAGCAGGAUUUUAUAUUGAAUGCGGUGUAUAAUGGGGAGCCAGUGGAGAUGUGGGAGGACUGGUGUAAUAUGGUUUAUGGAUGGUGUGAGCGUGAUAAUGCGAGCGGCUGAAUUUUGGACCAGCUGAAGUUUAUGGAGGGUUUUUUGAGGGAGACUGAGCAGGAGGGAGGUUACAGUAAUCAAGUCACGAGGUGACGAGGGUGUGAACAAGUAUAGCAGUGGAGUGAGGGGUGAGAGAAGAGUGGAGCCGGUGGAUGUUUCUAAGAUGAUAAUAUGCAGAACGAGUGAUGUGGUUGAUAUGUGAGGUGAAGGAGAGGGUGCUAUCAAGGAUGACACCCAGACUCUUGACCUGAGGGGAGGGAGAGAUGGAGGAGCUGUCAAAGGGAAUGGAGAAAUUGUUUAUUUUGUUUAGGGUGGAUUUGGUGCCACUGAGGAGGAGUUCAGUUUUAUUGCUGUUCAGUUUGAGGUGAACCAUGAUUUUAAUUCCUGCAGACAGUUGGUUAGGGAGGAUGGUGGAAGUAUGGUAUUUGGUUUGGUAGAGAUGUAGAGCUGGGUGUCAUCCG